UAAACUGCAGACCCGCUGCCAACCGCACCUUCCGAUGUAUGAAGAUAGAAAUAUGUUAACUAUUGAGAUCAAGAGACUUCUGAUUGUGCAAUGAGGUCAGCUUGAGUGGACCCAGGCACUCAAAUGGAGUCCCAGAGGCUGGACAGAUUUGAUGAUGAAUUUUAGCAGACAGAAUCCCUGCCCUCUGCAGCUGUGAAGCCCUGGGAAAUAAUCCACACAAAAGAAUUUCGGAAAUGAAAGCUGUCUUUGCCAUCUUCUGUUUAAUUAACACAGGUAUACCAGUUUAACCCCAUUUAUCAAGAUAUUACAGAUGAAACAGUAACUAAUAGAUGAGAAUGUUACCAUUAGGGCUGCAAAGCAUGGUUCAAAACUAAUCAUGGUGACUAUUGCAUUGUGGGCAAGAUCAGGCUUCUUGACUUUCUGGCCAGGA
ensembl:lncRNA